rnacentral:rRNA from 1 species
UGGGGAAUAUUGGACAAUGGGCGCAAGCCUGAUCCAGCCACGCCGCGUGAGUGAUGAAGGCCUUCGGGUCGUAAAGCUCUGUGGGGAGGGACGAACCGCCAUCGGUUAAUACCCGGUGGCAUGACGGUACCUCCUUAGCAAGCACCGGCUAACUUCGUGCCAGCAGCCGCGGUAAUACGAAGGGUGCAAACGUUGCUCGGAAUUAUUGGGCGUAAAGCGCACGUAGGCGGCUUAGCAAGUCGGAAGUGAAAUCCCUCGGCUCAACCAAGGAAGUGCUUUCGAAACUGCUGAGCUUGAGUAGUUAAGAGGAUCGCGGAAUUCCCGGUGUAGAGGUGAAAUUCGUAGAUAUCGGGAGGAACACCAGUGGCGAAGGCGGCGAUCUGGGAACAUACUGACGCUGAGGUGCGAAAGCGUGGGGAGCAAACAG